rnacentral:rRNA from 1 species
UACGGGAGAUCCUAGCGUUAUCCGGAAUUACUGGGCGUAAAGAGUUGCGUAGGUGGCAUAGUAAGCAAAUAGUGAAAGCGUGCGGCUCAACCGCAUAUCCAUUAUUUGAACUGCUAAGCUUGAGUAUGGGAGAGGUAGAUGGAAUUUCUAGUGUAGGAGUGUAAUCCGUAGAUAUUAGAAGGAACACCGAUGGCGUAGGCAGUCUACUGGCCCAUUACUGACACUAAGGCACGAAAGCGUGGGGAGCGAACGGG